UCUGGAGCCGUGAAUGACCCUGAACUGGUCCC
rnacentral:piRNA from 1 species